rnacentral:rRNA from 1 species
GAUGAACGCUGGCGGCGUGCCUAACACAUGCAAGUCGAACGGAAAGGCCCUGCUCUUGUGGGGUGCUCGAGUGGCGAACGGGUGAGUAACACGUGAGUAACCUGCCCUUGACUUUGGGAUAACUUCAGGAAACUGGGGCUAAUACCGGAUAGGAGCUCCUGAUGCAUGGGGGGGGUUGGAAAGUUUCGGCGGUGGGGGAUGGAAUAGCGGGUUAUCAGCUGGUUGGUGUGGUAGUGGCGUACGAAGCCUAUGAAGGAUAGCCGGCCUGGGAGGGUGACCAGCCACAAGAGGACUGAGAUACGGCGCAGACUCCUACGGGAGGCAGCAGUGGAGAGUAUUGCACAGUGGGCGGGAGCCUGAUACGGCGGCGCCGGGUGCGGAAAGACGGGCUUCGGGUGGUGAACCGCUUUCGCCUGUGACGAAGCGUGAGUGACGGUAAUGGGUAAAGAAGCACCGGCUAACUACGUG